GGAGGCGGUACUUCCUCCAGCAUUUGCCGCGAGUUAUUGGCAAGUUCCCCUGCAGUUGUUUGGGCUGUCGCUGUGGCUGGUUCUGCGGUGUGCGGCCAGCCAUGGAGCGCUCUGGGCCCAGCGAAGUGACAGGCUCAGACGCAUCGGGACCGGACCCGCAGCUUGUGGUCACCAUGGGCUUCACGGGGUUCGGGGUUCGGUAAAAAAGCUCACACAUUUGACUUGGAAGCAAUGUUUGAACAAACUCAAAGAACAGCUGUGGAAAGAAGUCACAAAACACUGGACCAGAUUACAGAGGGGUAUUGAUUUGCCUUGCCCCCGCCCCCACCAUCACAGUGUGUCCCUGUCCAGUGUUGGUGCUGUGUGGCAUUGCUUGUGUCCAUAGGAGUCCAUCAAGGCAGAGCGGCAGAGCGGCAAGCAGAGCGGCAAGGCAGGUCAGCUUCCGGCUCUUCCAGGCUGCAUGUCCCCCUCAAUAUCCUUUCAACCCAAUGGAAAUGGAUUGAAAGAGUGAAAGUCACUGGUCUCAAAGAAUCUACGGAAUUUAGCAUUUUGAAAAUCACAGAGCAAUUUUGGGUAGGUAUUCACAUGCACUAAAAAACCAGGCAAACAUCUGACUCCCAGGAUAAAGUGACUGAGAGCAGUAGAAGACUUGUUGAGCCUUAAGGAAUAAGAGGAAAAUUAUGUUAUGAAGUGCAGGAACAGCACAGACCCAGACGAGGGGAUGCAGCCCGGAGCCAGUAACCCGGCGCCUCCUCCUCCCCAGGGCGCAGCGCUGGCUGCUCCCCGGAUACCGUGAUCACACGUCCCAGGUCCUGAGAGCGCCUCAUAGGUAGACAGUUCUUUGGGACUUUUGGGACGCAGCACUUGAAGAGAGGUUUACCUAAACUUUCCUCCUGGGAGCCUGUCAUCAUUUGAAAGUAACAGAAGAAAGCUGUCAGGCUGAGGAAAGUUUCAACAGGCACUUGGUGAGAAUGGGAAGCAUCCAUUCAUUGGGAAAUCACGGGGACAGAGGAGGAAUUCACGGGAUCAGAGCACUGAGAAACUCCAGAGGCUUCUGGUUCACCGCCCUGAUUCCACAGAUGUGGGUCAGAGGCAGAGAUGGAAGUUGGAAUGGACAAGCCUGCCCUCUCCUCAGCUCUCCAUGGCUCUGUCCUCAGGCUGUUUCUGCAAUUUGACAUGAGGCCUGGCCCCAGGGAAACCAGUGGGGCCUCAUCUCCUCCCUGUGCUGCUCUGAGGUGGAGCCUUCUCAGGGUCAGUCCAGCUCUGGAGCCCCUCUCCAGCUCGGUCACCAAAGCUGUCUGGUCCCAGGGCAGUGUGGAGUGACAGGCACGCCAGCCAAUCCAAUCGGCCAUUUCAUACCCAAUGCAUGUGACUGAUAAAGAGAUAACACCCUGUCUCCAAGACACAGGCUUUACAUAAACAGCUUUAAUGACUUCUUCACUUAGGGACAAGACUCCUUAGUGGUGGAACCUCAGGCAUCCAUGCAGGAUGUAAGAAAGCUCCCGUAUAUACAUGAACUGAGAAGUGUGUAGAAGAGUAAAUACUGUAAUAGGUAAUAAAAUGUAUGUAUUUUUAUUUAUGUGCUACUUUGUCUUUCUCCCUCUCUGUGUAUAUACACAUACAUACAAAAAUGUAUUCAUUCUAUGGAAAACAUGAAAGAUGUAAUAUUCUUUACAUAUUUAAUUAAUGUAUUUUUUCUGAUCAUAUGAACACCACAAAUAUAAUUUUAUAAUUUUUUUACCUAACAAUAAGUCUUAAACAUAAAUAUACAUGGACAAUAUCAUAGUUUUUUUUUUAAUCAUAAUUAAAAUGGUUGUGAAACA
rnacentral:lncRNA from 1 species